GAAAUUUUGAAAAAUAUACAAAAAAUAUUGAAAAAAAAUUAUGUAAUAUUUGUGUGUAUUUUAUUAGAAUAAGAAUAAAUGUGUGAAUAAUGCUCGCAUGACUCAAGUGUGUGAAUAUGUAAACAUGGCCGACGACAAUAAUUCCUACGAAUUACAUGAAAGUGUCUUUAAUGGGGAUAUAAGAAGAGUGUCCGCUCUUAUACGAACUUACGAUGUUGCCAAGAAGGAUAAGCAUGGUAAUACACCACUUCACCUGGCUGUAAUGCUGGGGCAUAAAGAAUGUAUACAUCUUCUGUUGGCUCAUGGAGCUCCAGUAAAAGUCAAGAAUUGCAAUGGGUGGAGUCCUCUUGCAGAAGCCAUCAGUUUUGGUGACAGACAAAGCAUAUCUGUGUUAUUACGAAAAUUAAAGCUGCAGUCUCGAGAACACAUGGAGGCUCGGCGGCCUGACCUAGUACGAGCACUGUCACAAAUGGGAGAUUUUUAUAUGGAACUCAAAUGGGAUUUUCAGAGUUGGGUACCCCUCGUGUCCAGAAUGCUUCCGUCCGAUACAUGUAAGAUUCACAAAAAGGGAGCGUCUAUCCGAUUAGACACAACGCUGGUGGACUUCAAUGAUAUGCGCUGGGAGAGAGGUGACAUUAGCUUUCUGUUUUCUGGGAGUUCAAAACCUUCACAUUCCCUGACAGUGCUUGACAACAAGUUGAAAGUCUACCAGGGAGUCAGACAUGAGGAAACAGAAGCAGAAAUAGAGGAUGAGGUGGACAUCCUUAUGAGUUCUGACAUAGUAGCUGCGCAGAUGUCAACCAAACAGAUCACUUUUUCAAGAGCACAGACAGGCUGGAUUUUUCGAGCAGAUAAAAAGGAAAUGGUUGGCAAGUUUAAUGCAGAUUUUUAUUAUUUGAAUGGCUUGACUCUGGAGUCUCGAAAACGGAGAGAACACCUAAGUGAAGAGGAUUUACAGAAGAAUAAAGCCAUAGUGGAAAGUUUUACUAAGGGAGGUGGGGCACAAUCUUUUGAUGAAUCAGUACGCAGAGCUUCAUUAGAACCCCCAAGCACAGAACCAGUAUCUUGGGAAACAUAUAUGCAAGCUGAACCUGGAAAACCCCCUCCAUUAGGUCGUGCACUCAUUUGCAAGGAAUCGGCUAAAUCAUUUAAGGCAACUGUAGCAAUGAGUGAAGAAUUUCCAUUGACAGUAGAGAUGCUUCUCAAUGUACUGGAAGUAAUUGCUCCAUUCAAGCACUUUGCAAAGCUGCGAGAGUUUGUCCAAAUGAAGCUCCCUCCAGGUUUCCCAGUUAAAAUUGAUAUCCCAAUCCUGCCAACAGUCUCAGCAAAAAUUACAUUCCAAGAAUUUGCAUUUCGAAAUGACAUACCUGACACCUUUUUUGAAGUUCCAUUAGGAUAUAGAGAAGAUCCUAAUAGGUUCCCUGAAUUAUGACGGUAUGAGGAUCUAAGCCUCUUGAGUGUUUCCAGUGUUGAAGAACAUCAAGACCUACAUAGACAAUGUUGUUCUGGGCCAGAGUGUGGUGGCAGAUCCCGAUUUGCUGUCAUUUGUAACCUGCUCCUCCCCCCCACCAUUACUCUCACCUUCACAGUGCUCAGUGCAUCUGUCAUCAUCAUUUGAUCUGCGGGGGCAGUCAGGUCAAAGGUUGGAUACAGAUGUGUCUUGUGCUCAGUGAACAUUCCAUCAUAAAAUAAGCCUAGAAGCAUUAAGAAAUUAUCUGUUAAUUGUUUUAGUGAUCAUCACCCCAGUCUCAUCAGGCAUCCUAAAUUUAAAAAAAAAAUAUUAGAACUAUUAAGAAAUAUCCAGGAAAGUAAAGAUCAGUGUGUAUUUUAUGUAUAUAGUUUUUUUUUAUUUACAAGUCAUCAUACUUGCUCAUGAGACUGAAAGGAAGGACCAGCAGUCUUGCCAGAAUACAAAAUAUGUAGCAGAUUUUGUUAGAUGGGCCUAGGGUGGACAGACAGACAGCAGGAACAAGACCCUGGAAAACAUGGUAACUCAAAAAACACUCAAAACACACUGACAAAUAAAAACCUAGUAGAGCAGUAAAGGAAGGCAGGAGGUAGCACACACAGCCCUGCCAAUUAUUAAAUUGCCUGUAUUACAGCAACAUCUCAUUUAACAGUUGAUUUUCAGGCUACAUGUUUUGUUCCCUAUAACAGAAGAAGGCCUACUACAUAGGCCUGGAAAAGCUGAGGGCCCAGCAACUCCACCUGACCAUAUGGUAAAUGAAGGGUACAGGGAAUGAGGGAACCUGAGACCCCAGAUCUCCAGGCAAGCACUGAACACUCAUUGGGAGUUAUGCUUGUAAACUAAAUGGCACAACCUGGCCUGUAAGAAGCAAAGAACACAAGUUAAAUGGCACUCCCACAACUGGUGGGCAAAGCACAGAGAACGACUAAUCUUGGCAUUAAUUGUAUAGAAGUGAAGAUCUACCAUGUAUUCAGACAAAGUGCAGGUCCUGAGCAAAUGAAGUUGCAGCAAUAGAGAUAUUCAAAAAGGAGAGUGAAUUUAGGUGUCAUGAGAGUAUAAGGUUGACAACUGGAGCCCUUGAGUGCAGCAAAGGUCUCUAGGUGACAAUGCCCAUGAUAAGUUAGUAAAAAAGAAAAUGUGAGUAUAUUUGGCAUCGAAGAGGGGUAGGUUAGAUUCCAAAUGGGCCAUCAGAGGCCCACUGCAGAAAAAGUAACCAAAAUAGCAGCACUUUGCAGAGCUGACAGGAUACCACUUGAAUUGUAAAAAAUGUAGACUAAUAGAAUCAUCAUUACAGUACAUACCAACUGUUAAAGAAAAACUUAAACCUCAUCUUUUUAAAGCCUUAUUCAUGCUGCACCUCCACCAGUUGAUCUGUCAACUUUCUGCAUUAACUCUAGCUAUACUUCUGGCAUUACUUCUAGCUAUACUUCUCAUAGGAUGGUUGAGCACUCUCGGUUUGAUUUUUGCUAUGAUCUCACAAUAGUUACAUUGACCUCAUUCUUUCAAAAUAUUUUACUAAGUAUUCAACACCAGCUAGAUGAGCAACAUAAGCACAGAGGCCCUGCAGGAAUUGUUAAUGACUAGACAAAGUGCCAGGGUGAUCACUACUCUGAAGGGUUCUGCACUAAGGACUCGGGACCAUGCAACCUAAAAUAGUCUCUACAUUUCACAGUUUUAAUUACUGGAAUACAUAAAUUACCCAGUAUUUCACUUUCUCAUAAAAUAUUCUGUACAAUAUUUCAUCAGAACCUUUUAAGUAUUAUCCCAGAAUAUAAAACUCAGACUAUUUAGGAUGCUAAUAUUGUGUGUGGGGAGUUGAUGGAAAAUACUUUUUCACUCUCCCUUUAAAGGUUGUUCACAUUAUAUUAUUUCCAUAUAUUUUAAAUAUAUGGCAUGCCUCUGGCAAGAUAGUGAUGGAGUGAAUGAUGAUGAGUUUCUUUUUCGGGUCACCCUACCUCGGUGGAAGAUGGGCAAUGUGUUAAAAAAAAAGUAUUUGUGCAAAUACAGAUAUAAGAAUGUAAGGAAAAAUUAUUAAUAAUGUAACAAGGCACUCAGUAAAAUAUAUUACUUGAAUCACAUUAUAAUAGACAGAAUUUUUAAAUCAGUAGACUCUUUCAUUUCAAGUGGGUUACACCCUGAAAGUGGUGAUACAUGUAAUAUUAUGCUCUGUAAAAUGAAGAACAUAUGGAGUUGUAAGAGAAGUGAAUGCUCAGGUGUUGGCAGGAAGUGUGGGGUUAAAAGAGAAAGAAUCUAACACAAAGUGGGAGUUGUUUCAGUUGCUCUUUGCUGAUGACACUGUGCUUUUGGGAGAUUCUGAAGAGAAGUUGCAGAGGUUGGCUGACGAGUUUGGUAGGGUAUAUAAAAGAAGGAAAUUAAAAGUGAAUAUAGGAAAGAGUAAGGUGAUGAGGAUACAAAAAAUAGGUAAUGGGAAAUUGGAUAUCAGAUUGGAGGGAGAGAGUAUGGAGGAGGUGAAUGUAUUCAGAUAUUUGGGAGUUGGUGUGUCAGCAGUUGGGUCUAUGAAAGAUGAGGUGAGCUAUAGAGUUGACAAGGGGAAAAAGGUGAGUGGUGCACUUAGGAGUCUGUGGAGACAAAGAACUUUCUCCAUGAAAGCAAAGAGGGGAAUGUAUGUGAGUAUGGUUAUACCAACACUCUUGUAUGGGUGUGAGAUAUGGGUGGUGAAUGUUGCAACAAGGAGAAGGCUGGAGGCAGUGGAGAUGUCAUGUCUGGGGGCAAUGUGUGGUGUGAAUAUAUUGCAGAGAAUCCAUAGUUUGGAGAUUAGGACGAGGUGCGGGAUUAUUGAGAUGCUUUGGACAUGUAGAGAGGAUGGAACGAAAUAGAAUGACUUUAAGAGUGUAUAAAUCUGUAGUGGAGGGAAGGCGGGGUAGGGGUUGGCCUAAGAAAGGUUGGAGAGAGGGGGUAAAGGAGGUUUUGUGUGCGAAAGGCUUGGACUUCCAGCAAGUGUGUGUGAGCGUGUUAGAUAGGAGCAAAUGGAGACAAAUGGUUUUUAGGACUUGACAUGCUGUUAGAGUGUAAGCAAGGUAACAUUUAUGAAGGGAUUCAGGGAAACUGGCUGGCUGGACUUGAUUCCUGGAGAUGGGAAGUUCAGUGCCAGAAAUCUGAAGGAGGGGUGUUAAUGUUGCAGUUUUAUAACUGUAGUGUAAGCAUGCCUCUGUCAAGACAGUGAUGGAGUGAAUGAUGAUGGAAGUUUUUGUUUUUUGGGCCACCCUGCCUUGCUGGGAAAUGGCCGAUGUAUUAAUAAAAAAUGGGAAAAAUAGGGUCACAUUCUUGAUGUCUAGAAAAAUUCUUAAUUUCUGAAAAAAAAAAAAAAGUUUUGAUACCUGGCACUGUAGGUGCCAUUACUUGUUGGUCUAGAAGUGUGUGAAGAGGGCUGAUGUUGCCCUACUAGGCCUAGUUGAAUGUUUUGAGGUUUAGAAAAUUCAUAAGAAAGAAUACUGUACAUGUACCUAAUAGGUUACAUAAAACAAUUGAUUCUUGCCUUAAAUUCAGGUUGCUGGUGCAUGUUCAUCUUGAUGGUAGAGAGAGUUGCUGUGGCCCUACUGGGCCAAGGUGGUUGACUUUCGUUGUUUUGCUGUUGAUGGCUGAGGCUGUUGUUCAUGUUAAUAGUUGUGGUUCUUACAUUGAUGUCAAUGCAGAAUUGUUAUUUGAAGGUUAUACUGUCAUGCUUAGCUAUUCUGUAAUGUGGGUAUGCAGCAUUUCAUACAGUUUAUAAUAAGGUAUCAUUACUUGGUCCAGAACCUGCUUCAUAUCAAUGCUUCUAAACAACAAAAAAAGGCACAAUACCAUGACUGGAACGAUACACAAAUAACCCGCACAUAAAAGAGAGAAGCUUACGACAACGUUUCGGUCCUACUUGGACCAUUUACAAAGUCACACUGUGACUUUGUAAAUGCUUCUAGAAGUGUCAGGAUCCUAUUCACUCAAAAACUCUGAUCUUUACCACUAUCAUGCAGUGUCUCAUGUAUGUCUUGGAUUGUCAAUUUCCAUCUGUCUUGUCUUGAGUUGAGUUGAGCUCCUGCAGUUUGCUCUUCUUCAUCUUCAUCCGAGAGUUCAUUUACAUCUGACUGCAUAUUUUCUUAGUUCUCACCUGGCACUCUUCUUGCCAGGUCCACAAUUUCCUGGACCUGACUGUCUGUUGAGGGAAAACCUGAGAAUUUAUUCAUCAUACAGGCAUAAUUUUCUCCAUCCUGCCUUAUGUCUUAGUCACUUCUCAGUCCAGUGGUUGUAUCAAAGAUAUAUUUGGUGGUAAAAGUACAACCCUCACACUUGGGUUUAGAGUCCAAGAGUUGAGUAUGGCUGUGGGAAUUAUCGAGAGUAAGAAGAAUCUUGAAUGAAAAUGUACUUCUGACAAGCUACAUUUUGACUGAAAGAAUAAAAUAAGUUUGGAACCAGCCAAUAAAAAGUGCCUCACUCUCCCACCAUGUUUUGAUAGACUGCCAAAUAACAGACGGUUUUGUCUGCUUUUCAAGCACAGGAAAUCGAGGGGUGAUUAAUGAGCUUGGACAGAAGACUCACUUUCCACUUUUAAAUUUGAUCUUAUGCAGCCUGUUGCACAGUAAACAAACACACUUUUCCAGGCUUUCCACCUUUUUACACUUAUAGUAUGUUAGUAUUUUCUCUCUAUGAUCAUAAAGGCAUUAAUAGGGCAUCUUUCUUUGUUUUGUGCUCAAUCUGUAAAUUCAGUAACUUUCCUGUCUUAUUUAUUUAUAUUGACCUACUUGACAUGCUCUUUAGCAAGAUACAGUCAGGAUUACUCAUUAUGCAAGUUCUUAUCAUCACCUCAUUCUCAAAUUUAACAAAUCAUUGUUUCUCUUAAUACCAAAUGUACAUCUCAUUCCCAAGACCUUUGCUCUACCUUUAAGCCUAUCUAUAACCAUGUUUUUCAAAGCUGGCAUAGUUUCACAUGCAAACUUCUUGGAACCUUCAGCAUCACUAGCAUUUUUCUUUUUGCCAUGGUUAAUAUCCUUGACAAGACAGGGUGAUGAAAGGAUAAAUAAAAUAUGGAUAUUUGCUGUUUGGAGUGACAUCUGAACUGUUGUAUUUGUGUGCCUCUGCUAAGACAGUUAUUAUCUGUGAAUGAUGGUGAAAGUGUUUUUCUUUCUUUGGGUCACACUGCCUUGGUGGGAAAGGGCCAGCAUGUUGGAAAAAAACAUAAGAGAGCUUGGUAUAGGAUAUGUCCAGAAAGUAACUGACCAUGUAGAUAGGUAUUAACACCCAGGAGCCAAGCUAGGCCUUUUCCUAAAAUAAUGGCCUUUCCCUAAGCAAGGCAUCAAGCUCAAUUUUAUUCAAAAUGUAAUUAUCCCAGGACUUUUAUGGUUCAAGCUUACAGUCAUUCUCUUACAUAGGGUAACCUUAGGUACAAAAUUUCAUUUGCAAUAUGUUGAUAAUACAGUACACAGUAGACGAAAUUUUAAGAGUCUGCUAUAUACUUCAAUAAUGUAUGUACUGUAUUAGUGCUACACCACCGAAGAAUGAAAGAUGAGUGAGGGGUGUACAAAUUGUAUAUAGGUGAGACUGAAUGUGACUGUGUUACACCACCAAGGAAGAUGGGUGAGUGGUGCAUUAUUUUUCUAAAAUUCAUGUGAAGCACUAUACUAGUAUGGAUUGUCUAGCACAAGGAAAGGUGGAGGAUUAUUCCUCCCCUACCAAUAAGGAGAAAGUUACACUGCUAGCUAUGCUAACCAACUUUCCUCCCAGUGAGUGGCACGGAAAGUGUAUAUGAGUGGGAGUAAAGGUUGGAAGAGGCAAUGAAAUCUAGGAAUGUUGGUAGAUGUAAUAUGUGAAUGGGUAAAACAAAUGGGGUCUGAGACAGUGAUCACAACUGUAGAAGAGGUUUCUUAGGGAGAAGUGAAUGAUUGACAAACUAUUUUUUGUGACCAUUGCAAUGGAGUCAUUUUUAUUUAGGCCUCAUUCAUAAUUUUAAACAUUUACAAUGGUUUUAUAUAGUAAAUUAUGUAGAAGUUAACCUUGGAUAACCCAGUAAAAUCAAACAGUGUGACUUAUUUCCGUUGGAGGUCCUUGUGUUAUAGUUACAUAGUUGUAUUUUUACAUAGGCGGCUUAGUACAUACUUUACACACAGUCUGUGAGACAGUUGAAAUGUGGCAAUAUUUGAACAGAAUAUGGUCUUACUAAUUUUACGUUGAAUAUUGUAUAUACAGCAAUAGUUGCAAAGUGAGAAACCACUUGGACAGGAAUAGGUAACACACGUAUGAUACAGUGGACCCCCGGUUAACGAUAUUUUUUCAUUCCAGAAGUAUGUUCAGGUGCCAGUACUGACCGAAUUUGUUCCCAUAAGGAAUAUUGAGAAGUAGAUUAGUCCAUUUCAGACCCCCAAACAUACACGUACAAAUGCACUUACAUAAAUACACUUACAUAAUUGGUCGCAUUGGGAGGUGAUCGUUAUGCGGGGGUCCACUGUAUUUGUUUAUAUUUCAGUCUCGGUCAGAGACCAGCUUCAACGGAUCUGUGACUGAGGCUGAACUAUUCGGAUCUUUCUUACUUAUGUGUCAUAUUUCUGUCCAUGUAGUUUGAAACUUUGCAUUAAUUAGUGUUUAUAACACUUGUAUCAUAGUACUGUAUAGUAAAAGGUUUUCUCAUUUACUGGUGAUGCAUGCCUCUUAGUCCUCAGUAGUAGAAAAUGGAAAGGAAACCAUUCACCAGCAAAUUGUAGAAAGCAUUACAUGGGUAAAGUAGGUCAUAAUAUAGUGGUGCACCUGACCUUUCAUAGUACUUUUUAGAAUUUGAGGAUCACUGACAUAACACAUUCAAGGAAACGAAAUAUUCUGUACCUAAAGCAAAAGCCAGAGAGGGAUGUAUGUUUGUACCUGUUAUCAGUGAGCUUAAAAUUAAAUUUUAUAAAGUAAACAUUUACAAUAAAUCAUGUAACCAAAAACAUAUUGAAUAAUUGGAAUUCCUGUAGAGUUCACUACCUUCAUUGGUAAUGGUUCUUAGUUUCCAUAUUAUCUUUAAAACAUUGCAGUAUCCCAAUUAAUGUACUAUUACAGUACAAGGUUUUUUUUAUAAACUUUUAAGGAGAUGCUUUAUGCCCAUAACUCAUAAUUACAUUUGCUUACCAUAAUUCAUUUCUUUUUAAUUUAAUACAACCCUGUUUUUUCUUAUGGACCAUCCCAUCUCAUAAGCAACUGUGAACUGUGCAAAUACCAUAUUCCUGUCAACUCAAGAACUGUUAUACUGAGUAUAGUCAUGCUUAUUCUUUUUUACUUUCCAGAAAAUGUCCUACUCCAAAUACAGUAUAACACCAUGUAUCCAGAAUCUUUUAGUUCUGGGACCUCAUUUUGAAUGGGGCAUUUCUGCUUGGCUCACCCAUCUCAUUUAAAAUGGAAAAUUUCGGGUGUUCCUAGGUAGGGUCGUAUUAGUUUUAGUUAGCACCGCUUGAAGCCUGAAGGUGGCGUGGGUAGCUACCCACAUCUCCCUGACUUGAUCUGGGCUGUUUGUUUACAAGCAGAUGUGACAGGCUUGUACAACAAGGAUUUCUUUUGCUAUUUUUAUUCAAAAUUCACUGAUUAGCAAUAUAUCCAUUCAGGAGUGGAAUUCUACACCUAUUCUGCAUGCCAAUGACUCAUAGAAGAUACAGUCUCUAAGGAUAUUUACCCUGGAAUACUCUAUUGCCUUUUCUAAAUAUUAUGAUGCAUCUUUUGUGAAAAUGUGUUUUCCUCAGUUCAGUUCGGUAUACUAACAUCAACUUCUGAGGCGAUUUGGUACAGUUAUGUCCUUUGUUAGUGAUGGGGUUACCAUUUUUUUUUUUUUUUAAGUGAUGUAAAUGGUUUAGGAAACCAACCCAUUAAAGAAUGAGACACCUAUGCAACAUCUGGAAAUCUUUGUUAAGGAAAUGUUUUACCAGCCAGUGGCUUUCAAAAUGUUUCCUCAAUGAAGAUUUCCAAAUGUUGCACAGGUCUCUCAUUCUUCAUCUUCUCUGAAGAAUGUAUUAUAAUCCUUUGUUGUGACAAAUAUACAUAAUUUAAGGUGUAUACUCUUCUUUUUCAAAAGAGAUUACCAACCUACAUGAUUUUUAGUGCUGUAUAAAAUUAUUUAUUUAUGCAGUAUACAAUUAUCCAGCUCAUCCUCCAACUUGUUUGCAGCUCAUGAGAAAAUGCAUGCUCCAGAUUUUACGAUACACUCUGCAUUACCAAAUAUAAGCCACCAAUUUUUUUUGUUGUUGCCUAAUAACUACUAAUCUAAGCAAACCUAACCUAGCUAAGAAUAAUAAAUACAGUAUUAAAAUAUCUGAAAAUUUUCAAGCACAAAGAUAUGUAUGAAAGGCAGUUCAUCAAAUAAUGCAUGCUCUAAUGGUAGAACAGGUUGCAUUACCAAUGUCCACUUAGUUUUGUAAAUGGAAAUCAACAUCAGUAUGCAAUGCAGUAUUUAUAAACUCAGUAAUGUAUAUCUCAGGCUUAUUGCAAAAAAGAUUCAGGAGUUCUGGUUAGCAGUAAUCAUAAACCAAGACAACAGUGCAUUAGGAUUUGUAAUAAAGCUAAUAUAAUUAUAUAAUUUUUGGCUUUAUAUCAAGAAGUGUAAAUAAUAGGAGUCCUCAAGUUAUACUUCAGCGUUAUAUAUCCUUGGUAAGGCCUCAUUUAGAUUAUGCUGCACAGUUCUCAUCUCCAUAUUACAGAAUGGACAUAAAUGAAGCCUAAAAUGUAUAGAGAGGGAUGACGAAGUUGAUUCCAUGUAUCGGGGAUUUUUCCUGUGAGGAUAGACUAGGAGCACUGAAUCUGCACCCUCUGAAAUGGUGUAGAAAUAAUGGGGAUGUGAUCAAAGUGUAUAAAUGGAAAACAGGAGUAAAUAAAUGGAAUAUAAAUAACAUGCUGAAAAUAUUUAACCAAGACAGGACUUAGAGCAGUGGGUUCAAGUUGGCAAAAUUUAGAUUUAGAAGGGAUAUAGGAAAGCAUUGGUUUGUUAACAGAGUUGUGGAUAAGUGGAAUAAUCUCCCAAGUAGCAUCAUUGAAGCAAGAACCAAGGGUAACUAAAAAAAACCAUACUAUGGGCGUGAUUUGAACCCGCGGUCAGAGAGUCUCAAAACUCCAGACCGUCGCGUUAGCCACUGGGCCAGCUAGCUUCAAUAAGAUUCGUCCAACUAGGUAUAUUUCUACACCAUAGGAAGGUUAGCAUAGGCACCACUGUGUUCACAAAUGCAAGUUUUUACAGACGAAUCUCCCGUGACAUUACGAUUUCGUGAGUCAUGUUGACGGCUUUGAGGGGACUUGAGCUAGAGUUCGUCACGGCCAUGCUAGCGGGAGAGUCGUCUGUAAAAACUUACAUUUGUGGACACAGUGAUGCCUAUGCUAACCUUCCUAUGGUGUAGAAAUAUACCUAGUUGGACGAAUCUUAUUGAAGCUAGCUGGCCCAGUGUCUAACGCGACGGUCUGGAGUUUUGAGACUCUGACUGCGGGUUCAAAUCCCGCCCGUGGUAUGGUUUGUUUGCAACCGUGUCGUUACGAUUUCGUGAGUCAUGUAACUUUAAAAAUAGGUUAGACAAUACAUGAGUGGAUAUGGGUGGGUGUGAGUUGGACUUGCCCAGCACGGGCCAGCAGGCCUGCUGCAGUGCUUCUCCUAACUAAUGUUCUUAAAUGAGACCCCACCAAUGGAAGAUCUUAUUACCAUUCUCACCUUUGUUAAGCUGUUCUGUUAUAACUAGUGUUUAUUGCAGUUCCACUGAGUAGUGUUGCUCUGCCUGAGCCACAUGCACUAACCUUGCUCUGUUCUUACCUAGGUUCUCUUUCCAGUGACAUAUAUGAGGCUCUUUCAGAAGCUCUUAUGUAUCAGCCAUGAACUACUACUGCAUCACAAGAUGCAUUUUGUGUGGUGGCUCUUUGGAUUUAUGGCACUUUCUCUAGUGGUUGUUGUUCUGGCCCUUGACUUUCAUUAACCUCUUGAGGGUCAAGGCCCCCAAUCUUAAACUUGUCCACAGGGUCCAAGAAUUUUCAAAAAAAAUUUUACUAUUUUUUUCCUAUGAAAUGGUAGAGAAUCUUUUUCUGGUGGUAAUAAAAGAAAAAGUACAAAAUUUGAUGGAAAAUUGAUAAAAUUACACUAUCGCUAAUUUUUCAGUGUCAGCAAUAUUUUGCCCACUUUAAGUCCCAUUUAAGGUCAAUUACAUUGUCCCAGUUGACCAAAGCUAUUUUGCUAGUGUGCCUUCCAUUUUAUCGAUUGAGCACAAAAAAUGCCUAAUCGACUAUUUCAACUACCCAAUAAAGAUAUCAGAAAUUGAUAAUUUGGCCAAUUUCACACAAAUUUCAAAAUAUUCUAUUUUCAAUAUAGGGUCCAGAAUAAACAAUACAGACAUUCCUGGCACUAAAAUAACAUUUCCUCUGUCCAUUAGUUACAUUCCCAGGCUUUACACAUGAAUUCCAUUUUUAUUUUUUAUUCACAAAGAAUUUUUAUUCACACCAAAAAAUGGAAAUUUUAAUGUUAGGCAGUAUUGUAAUAAUUGUAUAAAUAACAUCAGGGCAUUCGUGAACGCACAUUAGACCCACCAGUUGACGUGUAUUGGAUGCAUGAUGUGAUUUGUUUUCUCUUGAACAUCAGCAAAAAUCAAACAUUUCCACUACAAUGAGCCUACUUUCACGCUAUUUUCGGUCCUAAAAACCGAUUAGAAUCAUCUAUACAUAUAUCUUCCAUUCUAUCAAAUGAGACCAAGAAUACAACUAUAAAACCAUAUGAAAAUACACCACAAAGUCACUGUUUUAAGCCAAAAAUGUGGUUGCCAUUUUUUUCUUAUGCACUGCAUGCUGUAGGAUUUUUUUAUAUGGUGCUCAUUUACUGCAUAGACCCAUUCUCUCAUAUCUAGACCCAAAUUUACUGCUUACAGCUUAAUGCAGUGAGCUGAGCUCAUCACGUAGAACUACGGCACAGACACUGGCUUCAAAGCCAUAGAACUACAGCAUGGACCCUCAAAGGGUUAUUAUUAACCCAUAAACGGUCCAAACAUAUACAGUGGACCCCCGCAUAACGAUUACCUCCGAAUGCGACCAAUUAUGUAAGUGUAUUUAUGUAAGUGCAUUUGUACGUGUAUGUUUGGGGGUCUGAAAUGGACUAAUCUACUUCACAAUAUUUCUUAUGGGACCAAAUUCGGUCAGUACUGGCACCUGAACAUACUUCUGGAGUGAAAAAAUAUCGUUAACCGGGGGUCCACUGUAUAUACGUUCACUACCCCAGUGCCCCGAAUAUUUUGAAAAAUAAAAAAAAUCUUUUUUUUUUAUUAUUGAAAAAAAAGAGCACAUUUUUCUAAGUGUUAUAAUAUAAAAAAAAAAUUUUAGGGUCAGUAUUUACCAAGAUAUGAGGCCCAGAAGUUGGCACUGGAUGCUCACUUGACAGCAACAGUGAGUCCUGCCGCUUGCAGAAGUGUUCUAUUUUUCAUAUUAUUUUAUAUAAUUUUUAUGUUUUGAUAACUACAAUUUAUAGUAGUUCUUGUCAUUUCAUAACCAAUCUUUGUUCUGACACUAGUACAGUGGACCCCCGGUUAACGAACUUUUUUCAUUCCAGUAGUAUGUUCAGAUGCCAGUACUGACCGAAUUUUUUCCCAUAAGGAAUAUUGUGAAGUAGAUUAGUCCAUUUCAGACCCCCAAACAUACACGUACAAAUGCACUUACAUAAAUACACUUACAUAAAUACACUUACAUAAUUGGUCGCAUUUGGAGGUAAUCGUUAUGCGGGGGUCCACUGUAUUAGGUACUGAAAUUGCACUCAAAUUGUUACAAACACACUGACAGGUGGACAUUUGCACCUGCCUUGGUCAUUUACUAUUGUCUUGGAAUAUAUACAAAGUAUUUAUAUGUCCCAGCAAUGUUUUGGAUAUUUGGAAGUAUAUAAUAAUAAUAAUGAGGAGGAGGAGGAGAAGGAGGA